GACGUAGGUGGCGAACGUUAUCCGGAAUUAUUGGGCGUAAAGGGUGCGUAGGUGGCCUGGCAAGUUAUUAGUGGUAAAUCGAGGCUCAACCUCGUGGAAACUAGUAAUACUGUUCGGCUUGAGUGCAGGAGAGGUUAACGGAACUCUAUGUGGAGGGGUAAAAUCCAUAGAUAUAUGGAUGAACAUCAAUAACGGCGAAGGCAGUUAACUAUUCUGUUACUGACACUGAGGCACGAAAGCGUGGGGAGCAAAACGG
rnacentral:rRNA from 1 species